CCUACGGGAGGCAGCAGUGGGGAAUCUUGCGCAAUGGUCGAAAGACUGACGCAGCGACGCCGCGUGCGGGAGGAAGCCCUUCGGGGUGUAAACCGCUGUUACUCGGGACGAACUUCCCGAUUCAUCGGGAUUGACGGUACCGGGGGAGGAAGCACCGGCUAACUCUGUGCCAGCAGCCGCGGUAAUACAGAGGGUGCGAGCGUUGUCCGGAAUCACUGGGCGUAAAGGGCGCGUAGGCGGCUUUUCAAGCGUGCGGUGAAAGCUCGGGGCUUAACUCCGAGUCUGCCGUGCGAACUGGGAGGCUUGAGUCUGGUAGAGGUCGAUGGAAUUCCGGGUGUAGCGGUGGAAUGCGUAGAGAUCCGGAAGAACACCGGUGGCGAAGGCGGUCGACUGGGCCAGAACUGACGCUGAGGCGCGACAGCGUGGGGAGCAAACAGGAUUAGAUACCCUGGUAGUCCACGCCGUAAACGAUGGGCACUAGGUCCUUGGGGGAGCGACCCCGUGAGGGCCGGCGCUAACGCAUUAAGUGCCCCGCCUGGGGAGUACGGCCGCAAGGCUGAAACUCAAAGGAAUUGACGG
rnacentral:rRNA from 1 species